rnacentral:rRNA from 1 species
UACGUAGGGUGCAAGCGUUGUCCGGAAUUAUUGGGCGUAAAGAGCUCGUAGGCGGUCUGUCGCGUCGGCUGUGAAAACCCGGAGCUCAACUCCGGGCCUGCAGUCGAUACGGGCAAACUGGAGUGUUGCAGGGGAGACUGGAAUUCCUGGUGUAGCGGUGAAAUGCGCAGAUAUCGAGAGGAACACCUGCGGCGAAGGCGGGUAGCUGGGCCGACACUGACGCUGAGGCGCGAAAGCCAGGGGAGCGAACGGG